rnacentral:lncRNA from 1 species
CCCGAUAUUGCUGACACCCGAAUGCACAUUCGUUCAAUAAACCCUCUUGCUUUUGCAGGUGAUUCUUAUUGGAGAACAUUUAUAGGAUUGGUGAGUUUGGUGGAGAGAGUGGGAAUAUCCUCUUGAUCUUACUGUUACUUUUGCAAUAAGAUGUGGACAUGCAGACUCCUUGUAUUGGUUGUAUAUUUGGUGAAGCUCAGAAUAUACCACCCGGUGCAAACCUGGUGUUUUCAGAAUCACCAGUAAGGCUCACCAGGCUGGAGCCAUGGUUGUUGGAUACAGGGUAGGCCUGGGACCUAGGGCGGGAAUGAGAAGGGUCAGGCAGACUCACAAAGAUGGAUCAGAGAAUGGGAUUUGUGGAUCUGGCCUAAGCAGGUGUAAAAUGUCUGAGGAAGGAGUAUGACAGGGAGUACAAGUAUAUCAUUUGCAUUUCCAUUCCAUAUUGGCUAGCUGGAAGAUUCCUAAGAUUCAAGAGUCCAAGGCUCCAGGCUCUGGCAAGUCACAAAUGGAGGAAAAUGACCCCAGAGAAGGUCAUGAUCCCUGGAAAGCAGUCACAGGAAAACUGGAGUUGGAUUCAAUAAAGUCUCAAUCUUUCCUGUCCUACAAGAUUGAGGAUGUCAGAGAUGUCUUUCACUAAGUUGUGACUGAAUAAAAAUUUCUAAGAAAUGAGGGAGAGUAACUAGUUAAAGGAACCAUGAAGGAAAAGGACCCCCGUAUCCCAGACACAUCCCAGAGUCAAUAAGCAUCUGACAUUUAGAAAACAAGCACUCCACAGAGAAGAAACUGCCAGGAGGAGGAGGGAAGAAAGAUUUAUUCACCUC